rnacentral:rRNA from 1 species
GAUGAACGCUGGCGGCGUGCCUAAUGCAUGCAAGUCGAGCGAACAGACGAGGAGCUUGCUCCUCUGACGUUAGCGGCGGACGGGUGAGUAACACGUGGAUAACCUACCUAUAAGACUGGGAUAACUUCGGGAAACCGGAGCUAAUACCGGAUAAUAUAUUGAACCGCAUGGUUCAAUAGUGAAAGACGGUUUUGCUGUCACUUAUAGAUGGAUCCGCGCCGCAUUAGCUAGUUGGUAAGGUAACGGCUUACCAAGGCAACGAUGCGUAGCCGACCUGAGAGGGUGAUCGGCCACACUGGAACUGAGACACGGUCCAGACUCCUACGGGAGGCAGCAGUAGGGAAUCUUCCGCAAUGGGCGAAAGCUUGACGGAGCAACGCCGCGUGAGUGAUGAAGGUCCUCGGAUCGUAAAACUCUGUUAUUAGGGAAGAACAAAUGUGUAAGUAACUAUGCACGUCUUGACGGUACCUAAUCAGAAAGCCACGGCUAACUACGUG